UGCGCAGGCGGAUACUUAAGUCAGUGGUGAAAUCCCGGGGCUCAACCCCGGAACUGCCAUUGAUACUGAAUAUCUGGAAUACGGUUGAAGUGGGCGGAAUGUAGCAUGUAGCGGUGAAAUGCAUAGAGAUGCUACAGAACACCGAUCGCGAAGGCAGCUCACUAAACCGAUAUUGACGCUCAGGCACGAAAGCGUGGGGAGCGAACAGGAUUAGAUACCCUGGUAGUCC
rnacentral:rRNA from 1 species